rnacentral:rRNA from 1 species
AUUGAACGCUGGCGGCAGGCCUAACACAUGCAAGUCGAACGAGUGGCGGACGUGUGAGUUAUGUCUGGGAAACUGCCUUAUGGAGGGGGAUAUCUACGGGAAACUAUAUCUAAUACCACAUACCAUCAUAUGUGCCCAGAUGGGAUUAGCUUGUUGGUGGGGUAACGGCUCACCAAGGCGACGAUCCCUAGCUGGUCUGAGAGGAUGACCAGCCACACUGGAACUGAGACACGGUCCAGACUCCUACGGGAGGCAGCAGUGGGGAAUAUUGCACAAUGGGCGCAAGCCUGAUGCAGCCAUGCCGCGUGUAUGAAGAAGGCCCUAGGGUUGUAAAGUACUUUCAGUGGGGAGGCGUUACCGGCAGAAGAAGCACCGGCUAACUCCGUGCCAGCCGCCGCGGUAAUAC